UACGUAGGGAGCAAGCGUUGUUCGGAUUUACUGGGCGUAAAGGGCGCGUAGGCGGCAAAUUAAGUCAGCUGUGAAAUCUCCGAGCUUAACUCGGAACUGUCAGCUGAUACUGAUCUGCUAGAGUGCGGAAGGGGCAAUCGGAAUUCUUGGUGUAACGGUGAAAUGCGUAGAUAUCAAGAGGAACACCUGAGGUGAAGACGGGUUGCUGGGCCGACACUGACGCUGAGUGCGCGAAAGCCAGGGGAGCAAACGGG
rnacentral:rRNA from 1 species